CAAAUUCUGUCUCCUUUUAAAACAUUUCCAAAAUAUUUCAGCUUUGAAAAUCAAUAUUAAGUGCUUUGGCACUUAAUUGUAUUAUCUUGUUUAUUGCACUGUGACUUCAUUUGUUUGUCAUGUCUUCCAUAAUACUCAUUUAGAGCAACGAUUAUAUUUUAUGCCAUACCUACCCCUCUCCCCAAGUGCUGAGCAUAUUAGACACUCAGGUCAGACAUUUAUUGAUUUUGGGAACAUUUGCUGAGAAUAUAAGUCACAUGCUUAAAUACUUUGCUUCUAUGCUGGAUUCUUAAUCGGUUCUAACAGGGUUAAACCAGGGCUAUCUAGCUACCUCUGCUACUCUACUGGAAAUUUUUUUCUCUUUGAGAAUAAGCACAUCUAAAGUCUAGACUUGGAGCCAGGUGCGGUGGCUCACGCCUGUAAUCCCAGAACUUUGGGAGCCAAGGUGGGUGGAUUGCUUGAGGCCAAGAGUUUGAGACCAGCCUGGCCAACAUGGUGAAACCCCGUCUCUACUAAAAAUACAAAAAUUAUCCGGGAGUGGUGGUGCAAUGUUUGUAAUCCCAGCUCCUCAGGAGUCUGAGGCACAAGAAUCUCUUGAAUCUGGGAGGUGGAGGUUGCAGUGAGCCAAGAUGAUGCCACUGCACUCCCUUCAGCCUGGGUGACAGCGAGAUUCUGUCUCAAAAAAAAAGUCUAGACUUGGAAACAUACAUGUUGACAGUAUAUACUGAUCAGAAUGUUGCAGAUUGAAAUUAAUGAUGUGCCUCACCCCCAUCCUUCCUGCCCUUUUAAUGCUAUGGCUUUUAAUCUCAGCCCUUCCAAACUAUAAAUCAAUAUAAUUUAUAGUUGCUUUUUUGUGUCCAGUGUAUUAGAGGGAAAAAACCCCACAUAACCUUGGCUUGAUGCUACUACAUUUUCCAGCCUCACUAGAUCUUUAAAUUAUGAUCAGUAGUCUAUCAAUUUAUUCUUUAGGCCACUUUCCAGCAUCAAUUCCAGCCUUCACCACCCUUGUCACCAGAUAACCAGUAUACCUCUACAGAGAACAUGGUCAUGAGCUGUGAAUUCUCUCCAUUCCUGGACCCCUUGUUACAGAUGAUUUAGUUACUCCAACAUCCAUCCUUACCACCUGUCUCAGGAAGGAGGUGCCCUUCCUCCUGUGCCCAGCAUCUCCCUUUCACACCUACUUGGUCUCCUUGCUCCAACAAUUAAUAGCCUAUCUUUCUGUCCCUUCUUUUUCUUCAAAUAGCCUGCAGUCUGAAUUCUUGCUUAGAAACAGUUCUCCAUGAGAUCUCCAGUAACCCAACUGUCAAAUUAAACGGACACUUUGGUUCACUUAAUCUCAUGGCCUACUUCUCAAAACUUACUUGGUUUCCCAUGUUUACUUCCUGCCUAACCAACUUGUUUUUUCUUUGUUCUUUCUGCCUAUGGGCUUCUUUCUUCUUUUCCUCAUAGAAUUGUUGUCAGGAUUAAAUGAGUUAAUAUAUUAAGGAUUUGUAACUAGUGUCUGGCACAUAGAAAAC
rnacentral:lncRNA from 10 species